UCAGAUGUAGUGCAUGGUGCACACCCUCCUACCCUACCCGAGACCUUCUAACCAUAAGUUGGAGGAAAGCCGGGGUUCGAUUCCCCGCGUCUGAC